rnacentral:rRNA from 1 species
CCUACGGGUGGCUGCAGUGGGGAAUAUUGCACAAUGGGCGCAAGCCUGAUGCAGCCAUGCCGCGUGUGUGAAGAAGGCCUUCGGGUUGUAAAGCACUUUCAGCGGGGAGGAAGGCGUUAAGGUUAAUAACCUUGGCGAUUGACGUUACCCGCAGAAGAAGCACCGGCUAACUCCGUGCCAGCAGCCGCGGUAAUACGGAGGGUGCAAGCGUUAAUCGGAAUUACUGGGCGUAAAGCGCACGCAGGCGGUCUGUCAAGUCGGAUGUGAAAUCCCCGGGCUCAACCUGGGAACUGCAUUCGAAACCGGCAGGCUAGAGUCUUGGAGAGGGGGGUAGAAUUCCAGGUGUAGCGGUGAAAUGCGUAGAGAUCUGGAGGAAUACCGGUGGCGAAGGCGGCCCCCUGGACAAAGACUGACGCUCAGGUGCGAAAGCGUGGGGAGCAAACAGGAUUAGAUACCCUAGUAGUC